rnacentral:tRNA from 1 species
AUUUAAAUAGCUUAUAAAAUAAAGUGUAGUAUUGAAGUUACUAAGAAAAUAGUAUAUAUUUUUAAAUA